UCAGCUAGUUGGUGGGGUAAUGGCCUACCAAGGCGACGACGGGUAGCCGGCCUGAGAGGGCGACCGGCCACACUGGGACUGAGACACGGCCCAGACUCCUACGGGAGGCAGCAGUGGGGAAUAUUGCACAAUGGGCGAAAGCCUGAUGCAGCGACGCCGCGUGAGGGAUGACGGCCUUCGGGUUGUAAACCUCUUUCAGCAGGGAAGAAGCGAAAGUGACGGUACCUGCAGAAGAAGCGCCGGCUAACUACGUGCCAGCAGCCGCGGUAAUACGUAGGGCGCAAGCGUUGUCCGGAAUUAUUGGGCGUAAAGAGCUCGUAGGCGGCUUGUUGCGUCGGUUGUGAAAGCCCGGGGCUUAACCCCGGGUCUGCAGUCGAUACGGGCAGGCUAGAGUGUGGUAGGGGAGAUCGGAAUUCCUGGUGUAGCGGUGAAAUGCGCAGAUAUCAGGAGGAACACCGGUGGCGAAGGCGGAUCUCUGGGCCAUUACUGACGCUGAGGAGCGAAAGCGUGGGGAGCGAACAGGAUUAGAUACCCUGGUAGUCCACGCCGUAAACGUUGGGAACUAGGUGUUGGCGACAUUCCACGUCGUCGG
rnacentral:rRNA from 1 species